CCUAGACCUUCUCCCUCCACCUCUUACAUGCAGGUUGACAGGAGUAUAAAUACUUGUGCCCGAAGAGACUCUCAGUGGUGAACUACUGUUUUGAAACAAGUCCGAGCCUCUCUCAGUGAGUGAGUUAACUACAGAAGUCCAUUCAUUUGCUUUUUCAAGGCUGUCAGAACCAACUUAGACCUAAGUUUGUUUUAACAUCAGUAUGGAGCCAGCUUCCAAACGGCGGUCAACCCAUCUGUUUCGGAAGACAUGUGCCUUUCUCCUCCUGCUGGGGGCCUGUGGGCUGACCCAGGCAUCUGUCUAUCACAAGUCAGGUAUUUGCACAUACCAAGAUCAGUACUAUAAACCAGGGGAGACCUUCUCCAAAGCCUGUGACAAGUGCUACUGUCAUCAUUUGGGUUUCUUUUGCUACCCACCUAAGAAACCCACCUCCUGGCCAAACAAAUGUGAGCGGAUCCCGACAGAAUGUGGCUACCGGGUUGUUUACCGUGACAAUCCUGAGAUGGAAUGCCGGGCCUACAGCUGGAUUGGCUGAUGGAUUUGGACAUUGAAGUGAUCUUCAGUCAGUCAGUCACCAAGAGUAACAAUGUGUAUUGCCUUUAUUUUUUACCUGUAUAUUGCAUUUAUGUGGGGUAUAGCAAAGUUAUAUUUUGAUGCUCAGCAAACUAGUGUCAAACAGGAAGGAAAUUCUCAGGACAUGACACAUGAGUAGGGAAAGUGUGGCUAUAAUGGACAGCAAGUACAAAACCUGAACAGAGAUCAAGUGUACAGGAAAAUGAGUUGUACAAAUAGUACAUGCAUCAUACCUCCACCUGAAAUUAAAUAUUUCGCUCAGUAUCAUCACUUGUCAAUUGAGAAUUAACAAGGUCUAUCUGACAUGUCCACAAAUUUGAGUUUUCUUUUUUUUUUUGCACAAAAUAUAUAUGAAAUAAUAUGAUUUGGUGAAUUUUUUUAAUAUUAUUUAUAAAAAUAAAAUAACAUGAAAUAAAUGUAAUAGAAUGGUG
rnacentral:lncRNA from 1 species